AGUGAACGCUGGCGGUAGGCUUAACACAUGCAAGUCGAACGGCAGCACAGUAAGAGCUUGCUCUUACGGGUGGCGAGUGGCGGACGGGAGAGGAAUACAGCGGAAUCUACUUUUUCGUGGGGGAUAACGUAGGGAAACUUACGCUAAUACCGCAUACGACCUACGGGUGAAAGCAGGGGAUCUUCGGACCUUGCGCGAUUGAAGGAGCCGAUGUCGGAUUAGCUAGUUGGCGGGGUAAAGGCCCACCAAGGCGACGAUCCGUAGCUGGUCUGAGAGGAUGAGCAGCCACACUGGAACUGAGACACGGUCCAGACUCCUACGGGAGGCAGCAGUGGGGAAUAUUGGACAAUGGGCGCAAGCCUGAUCCAGCCAUGCCGCGUGGGUGAAGGAGGCCUUCGGGUUGUAGAGCCCUUUUGUUGGGAAAGAAAAGCAGAAGGUUAAUACCCCGCUGUUCUGACGGUACCCAAAGAAUAAGCACCGGCUAACUUCGUG
rnacentral:rRNA from 1 species